rnacentral:misc_RNA from 1 species
GGAAAAAUAUGAACCAUUAUGGCUCAAAGGGGGAACACAUUGCGACUUAGAACUAUACCCCGAAUACAUUAGACAUCUGAAGAAGUUUGUAUCUACAGUUGAAAAACCACCUUCUCAGAGAAACUUAUCAAGAAAAAGCGUUGACAGGCCUGAACAAUCACGGAGGAGUACAGACUGUUAUGAAAUUCCAAGAAAAAGCAC